GGUCGGCAAAAUCCUAUCUCUACCUGCCCGUGGUGCCGGCCGGAAUAUGCAGCUCCAUUUUAUGUGCUGCAUAUAUACCAGCAGAGAAAG
rnacentral:ribozyme from 1 species